rnacentral:tRNA from 1 species
GGCUGGGUAGUUUAAGAAGAAUAGUAGUUUUGUAAUCUGUUGGUGCCUGUCUAGGUCCUAGCCA